rnacentral:rRNA from 1 species
GAUCCUGGCUCAGGAUGAACGCUAGCUACAGGCUUAACACAUGCAAGUCGAGGGGCAGCAUGAACUUAGCUUGCUAAGUUUUGAUGGCGACCGGCGCACGGGUGAGUAACACGUAUCCAACCUGCCGAUGACUCGGGGGAUAGCCUUUCGAAAGAAAGAUUAAUACCCGAUGGCAUAAUUCUUCCGCAUGGUAGAACUAUUAAAGGAUUUCGGUCAUCGAUGGGGAUGCGUUCCAUUAGGUUG